rnacentral:sRNA from 1 species
UAUUCUGCCCUACAGGGAAGGAUGAGAAGCUUCGACUAAGGUUCGACUCGAGCGANAGCGAGAGAACGUUGCCGCAGGCAACGGCCCGAAGGGCGAGGCGCUUUAGCGCCGAGUAAUCCUUCCCCCACCACCA